UCGUAUAACAGAGGUGCCGGGGCUGUCGCUGACCAUCUAAAGGUCGUGCACGCCCUCUUAGCGUUCUCAUUUACACAUCCAUCUCACCCUUUGUGCAUCACCGCGUGGGCCCCCCUUUUGAUUUAAAAAGGUUGGCCUGCGUUUUCCACAUAAACCCCUUUUGUUGUAGUGAAUGUCUUUUUUUACUCUUGCGGUCACACGCAAUAUUAACA
rnacentral:misc_RNA from 1 species